GAACAUCGCACUCUUACGAAGAAUAUCUUUUUUUACGAGUAAUAGAGGUUCCCUGAUACCCAUACCAAACAAGUCUAGGUGUGGCGUUUUGUGCUGGUCCUACCUCUGACAUGGCACCAUUGGGCCAUCAAGGCGAGGGCAUGGGUCCCCAAGCAAGGUGGACGUGCAACUGCACAUGGACUCAGCAACUGAUGUAAUGUUAUAUCCACCCUGUAGAACAAAAAGCAGAAAUGCUAGUAUUGCCCCUUAAAUAAUGUAUUUCCAAUGUUGUGACCUUUUAGUGAACCCUUAUUUUAAUGGACCCUGAGGAUGGCGGAUUAAUAAAGGCGGCAGAGGUAAAGAGUAUUAUACAUGAGAUAGCAGUGAGGGACACACCUCCAGAAUGACCACCACUUUGCCACCAGCCAAACUCAUCAGCAUGUUCGUCAGAUGGCAGUAACCUUCAGGGGUGAUGUCGCAGUAUCCCUUGGGGUCCCCUCUUGCUGAGUCAAAUCCAGCAGAGACCAAUACAAUAUCCGGAUCAAACUAAAACAGAAUGCAAACAAUCCUCUCAUACUUCUAUAGGGAAUAUUAAAUAGAGGAAAAGUAUGUGGAACCUGGAUAUAACGAUAUAUAAACAUAGGAAAAUUGCAAUAUACUGUAUAGCCUAUAUCCAGGACUCAAGUUAGAACAAGGUCCAAGGUUUUGUAAAGAUGAAGUGCUGGUUAUGCACUGUACCUCAUAUGCAAUGGGAAGCAAAAUUUGCUGAAAAGCAGCUAUGUAGUCAGCAUCACCAAUAUGGCUCUAGUUAAAAAAAAAGCAACAUGAGACACAAAGACCAAUAUGGCGCUGUCUGAUAAGCAAUCAAUAUCAGACACCAAAUAAAGACAAAUUAUGGCUCUAAGUUAAUAAACCAACAACCUGAGGCACAAGGACCAGUUUGGCUCUUAAUAAACCAAUUACAAGAGACACAAGGACCUAUAUGAUGAAUAUCGGACACACAAACACCAAAUAAAGACCAAUUAUGGCUCUGAGCUAAUAAACCAUCAACAUGAGGCACAAGGACCAGUUUGGCUCUUAAUAAACCAAUUACAAGAGACACAAGGACCUAUAUGAUGAAUAUCAGACACAAACACCAAAUAAAGACCAAUUAUGGCUCUGAGCUAAUAAACCAUCAACAAUGGACACAAGUACCUACAGUAUAUGAUGUUAUAUGAUAAACCAACAGCAUGGGAAAGAAAGAGCCUUGAAACGAGAAGAUGUGUUCUCACCUUAUUCCAUGGGACAUUGACGUUAAAUCCUUUGCCCUGCCCUUUACCAACAAUAUCGUAAUUGGCUUGUGCAGAGAAUGGAUAGAAGUUUGCAUGAUCAUAACGAUGAAGAGAAAAGUAGAGAACACUGAAAAAAAAAAAAGAAUCACAAAAUAAGGUAACAGAUUUAAUAAACCUGUGGAUAACUGCCUUAACGUUAAAUCCUUUGCCCUGCCCUUUACCAACAAUAUCGUAAUUGGCUUGUGCAGAGAAUGGAUAGAAGUUUGCAUGAUCAUAACGAUGAAGAGAAAAGUAGAAUAAGGUAACAGAUUUAAUAAACCUGUGGAUAACUGCCUUAAACUAUGUGUCACCUUGGAUCAGACUCAAAAAGAUUUUGCGUUCCAUUGCCGUGAUGUAUAUCCCAGUCGACAAUUAAAAUCCUGAAAUUUGACAAAGCAAAA